rnacentral:rRNA from 1 species
AUUAAGCCAUGCAUGUCUAAGUUCACACUGUUUGACGGUGAAACCGCGAAUGGCUCAUUAAAUCAGUCGAGGUUCCUUAGAUGACACGAUCCUACUUGGAUAACUGUGGCAAUUCUAGAGCUAAUACAUGCUUACCAAGCUCCGACCUUUAUUGGAAAGAGCGCUUUUAUUAGUUCAAAACCAAUCGCCGCGUGCUCCUCACGGGGUGCGUGGUGUCCCCAUUGGUGACUCUGGAUAACUUUGUGCUGAUCGCAUGGCCUUCGUGCCGGCGACGCAUCUUUCAAAUGUCUGCCCUAUCAAAUGUCGAUGGUACGUGAUAUGCCUACCAUGUUUGUAACGGGUAACGGGGAAUCAGGGUUCGAUUCCGGACAGGGAGCAUGAGAAA